GAGACACAGAAAAACAAAGACAGAGUGAGGGAGAGUACAGAACAAGUGCAGCUACAGUAAAGUCCCAAGGACAUUUGGAUAAUGACGGUAACAACAAACAAUGAGGGAUGGGAGAACUCCAUCUGGACAGGUCCCAGCAGGAUUUCAGAGUUUGCAAAAUGUACCUGAAUGCACCAUGAAGUCCCUGUUCCUGUGUGGGUGUCAAACUCAGGACACAGACAGACAGCACAGGACAGAUUCAGUGUGACUAGCACACUCCGGCACUUACAUCAAGGACGUCCUCCGUCUGAUCUGAAGUCAGAAUGUUGACUGUGACCUUCUGACCGUUGGAGAGGCAGAUGUCUAGAGAGACUUCUUCUGUGGGAAUCUGCUGCGUCUCCUGUGGGAA